GCCGGGAUCGCCUAGCCUGGGAUGGCGCGGGCCUUGAGAGCCCGUGUCCUUAUGGACACCGGGGUUCAAAUCCCCGUCCCGGCGCCA
rnacentral:tRNA from 1 species